UGCGAUCAUACCAAAGACUAAUGUUGCACCCGAUCCCAUCGUAACUCCGCAGCUAAGUGUGCUUGGGCGAGAGUAGUACUAGUAUGGGUCACCCC